rnacentral:lncRNA from 1 species
AUGCUGCUGCACUCCAGCCUGGCUGACAGAGCAAGACUCCAUUUCAAAAAAAAAAAGCAAAAAAAAAAUUUAGAAUUGAAAGGGGCUGAACUUCAAGACAAAAAUUUUAAAAAUAAAAACUGCUUUUCCUGUGAGCAGCCGCCCCAUGCAGAAGAAAAAGCUUGCCAGAGCUGCUUGCAUGUGCAUAUGAGUAUUCUGCUGAAUUAACCUAGACACAUCAGAAUUUAAUACAUCCCAUCUUGAACUUCUUUGAAACUCAGCUUCCUGGCAUUCAGUGAUGCAACACCUGAAACUAGACACUGGCAUGGAAAAGUUUACAAUCUGUUUUAUGAGCCAGCUGGAGACCUGAACUCAGAAUGUCUCAUCAUUUGAUGUACUUUCUCCCUUUUCACUCCACACCUAGACCUUUAUUUCUGCUAAGCGUCUGCUGAUCUAGUAUUUGAGUGUUGUCAGGCAAGCAAAUAAAUUUAGCUUUGUUUCAAACUGCCAUUUCGGUGU